GAUGAACGCUGGCGGCGUGCCUAAUACAUGCAAGUCGAGCGGACAGACGAUGAUCUUGCUCCUCUGACGUUAGCGGCGGGCGUGUGAGUAACGCGUGUAUAACCUACCUAUAAGACGGGUAUAACUUCGGGAAACCGGCGCUAAUACCGUAGAAGAUAUUGAAGCGCAGUGGUCGAUAGAGAGAGACGGCUUUUGGGGCACGAAUAGAGGGAUCCGCGCCGCUUUGUGGAGUUGUUAAGGUAACGGCUUUCCAAGGCAAGGAUGCGUAGCCGAGGUGAGAGGGUGAUCGGCCACGCUGGAACUGAGCCACGGUCCAGACUACUACGGGAGGCAGCAGUAGGGAAUGUUCGGCAGUGGGCGAAAGCCUGACGGAGCAACGCCGCGUGAGUUAUGACGGUCUUCGGAUCGUAAAACUCUGUUAUUAGGGAAGAACAAAUGUGUACGUAACUAUGCACGUAUUGACGGUACCUAAUCAGAAAGCCACGGCUAACUACGUG
rnacentral:rRNA from 1 species